rnacentral:rRNA from 1 species
UGGGGAAUAUUGCACAAUGGGGGAAACCCUGAUGCAGCCAUGCCGCGUGUGUGAAGAAGGCUUUCGGGUUGUAAAGCACUUUCAGCGAGGAGGAAAGGUCAGUAGCUAAUAUCUGCUGACUGUGACGUUACUCGCAGAAGAAGCACCGGCUAACUCCGUGCCAGCAGCCGCGGUAAUACGGAGGGUGCAAGCGUUAAUCGGAAUUACUGGGCGUAAAGCGCACGCAGGCGGUUGGAUAAGUUAGAUGUGAAAGCCCCGGGCUCAACCUGGGAAUUGCAUUUAAAACUGUCCGGCUAGAGUCUUGUAGAGGGGGGUAGAAUUCCAGGUGUAGCGGUGAAAUGCGUAGAGAUCUGGAGGAAUACCGGUGGCGAAGGCGGCCCCCUGGACAAAGACUGACGCUCAGGUGCGAAAGCGUGGGGAGCAAACA